CAUACUACUAAAGUCGUUGGUGGGAUGGUUACUGUUACUAAGCCGAGUAACAGUAGGGGCUCCAGCCGAGCCGAUGUGAAACUACGGUUUCUGCCCUUAUUUUGUAAUAAUUUGCAUCUUUGCCAUUCUUGCUGGGUGGAUAGGCAUAAGUGUCAGGUCCUUGCUUCCCAUCUACACCGACAUCAACUCUUACAAGGUCAAUAGGGAAUCAGUGAUAAAACGUUGGUGGGUAUUUGUGGACAGGGGAAGAAGGAAAGGAAGGAGGAGAGAGAGAGAGAGAGCGGCGGAAGGAGGAAGAGAGAGAGCGGCGGAAGGUAUCUGUGAAAAUCUAAUUUGUUGGUUUCUUCUUCUUUUUCUUUCUUGAUCUCAAAUUUUCUGAUUGAAAUUCUAUCUGGGUCGUGUAUUUGAUGGGUCAAAGAUUGGAUGCUUCAAAAUUAAAUACUUAAUCAUAAAGAGUGAGGCUUUGAAUCAUUUUGUCCACUGUUGUGUUGAGGAAAUUGAGCGUUUUGAUAGUUCUUGACUAUCAAAAGUUAUACUGUGUUUGAAUUUACACGUUUAGAUUUGUGGGUUUAUAUGCAUAUUAUUGUUUAGGGACGUUAUUAAAAAGUAUGUGUUGCAAAGGAGAGCAAAUUCGUGCUCUGUAACCUCUGUUUCAUCUGUUUAUUUUUUCUGGGUUUGAAUUAACCUUGGUCCUUUUCUGUUCUGGAAGAGCUAUUUUUGGAUGUGUACCUAAAGAUCGAUAAGAUGGAGUUGUCAAUAGUUACCUUUAUUUGUUUGUACUCAUUGAGGCUAAACCUCCUUUUGGGUGGUGAUUAUCAUAGCUGAUAUUGUUUUGGGCAUCAUUUGUCUUCAAAGUUAUAUAAAUUCCAAUUGAUCUAUAGCAACUUAAGGAAUCUGUUUCAAUCUUUGGAGUUGUUGUUGUUGUUUUUUUUUUUUUUGUGUGUGACAAAAACACAUAUUAAAGCCAAAUAUUGCUCUUAAAGUCAAAAGAAUAUUAUCAAGAUGAUUGAAACUACGGUUCUGUCCAUGAAGAUAGAUUUGCGUAAGCUUUCGGAUAUAGUCUUAGACAACUACAUGUAGAAUCAGUUAAAGAGUUUCUAGAACUCAAUGCAUUGUCAAAUUAUUAAAGCUUGGUUGUACUAUUUACACUUUUGUUGGGUAAUAGUGUGUUUGGCUUGAUUAUUAGGUUGACUCCAGGAUGAUUUACUUUUUUACUUUUGUAUUGUGAUUAGUUUCUUUCAAAGAUAUGUAUUCCUGCGGCUUUAUUAAUACCAUUAAAAGGUGAGCAAUUUGGUUUUGGUUGUUGAAAUUGGGUGAAAGAUUGGUGCUUUUGUCUAUAAUUUCUUUAAGAAGAUUUAUAUGAUUGGUGAAAUUGUUUGCUCUGCUCCAGAAGAGCAGCAACAGAAAUAGUACUUCGUUUGAGGAGAAGAUUUAUACUGCUGGAUGUAUAUCUAUGAUUUCUUGAUACUUCCAGAAUUCUUUGAACAUUCAUUUUGGGAUUGAGAGAGUAUAUAGAAGGAACAAGUAAUCUGUAGUGCGGUUUUGGAAUGGGCGGUGGGAGACCCAUCAAGAGCAGAUUGGAGGUAUAGACCAUGCUAGAGAUGUGUCUCUCAAUUUAUAUUAGAUCUUUUGUAAUGUCAAGAAAGCAUGCAGGGUUUGUUAAUUGAAUUGUAUAAGAUUAAGGAUUCAUUUCAAACAAUUCCUAUUGUUAUUAAGAGUGAGUGAAUUAAAAUGUUAUUUAUCUA